rnacentral:rRNA from 1 species
UUUAAUGAGAGUUUGAUCCUGGCUCAGGACGAACGCUGGCGGCGUGCCUAAUACAUGCAAGUAGAACGCUGAGGUUUGGUGUUUACACUAGACUGAUGAGUUGCGAACGGGUGAGUAACGCGUAGGUAACCUGCCUCAUAGCGGGGGAUAACUAUUGGAAACGAUAGCUAAUACCGCAUAAGAGUAAUUAACACAUGUUAGUUAUUUAAAAGGAGCAAUUGCUUCACUGUGAGAUGGACCUGCGUUGUAUUAGCUAGUUGGU